AGAGUUUGAUCCUGGCUCAGGACAAACGCUGGCGGCGUGCGUAACACAUGCAAGUCGAGCGAGGCAGCCCUUCGGGACUGCCGAGCGGCGGACGGGUGAGUAACACGUGAGUGACCAACGCUCUAGUGGGGGAUACCGGUGGGAACUAUCGUUAAUCCCGCAUACGGUGCGCGUUUUGCGCAAGAAAGCAGCAAUGCGCU
rnacentral:rRNA from 1 species